UCGCCCCCCCCCCUCCGCCGCAUGGGAUCCUCCCCCGCAAACUGCAUCUGCUCCAGGCACUCAGGAUCAUCUCGGGUGUCCCGUUUUUUUGCAUCUCAGAGGUGGCAACCCAACCAACUCCUCCUCUGCCUUGUGGGACCCUCUGCAACUCACGCCCCCCUCUGGCCCAGGGGACCCCCCUUUUCCCUCCCCUGCUUCUCUCCGUGAGCCCUCUUCUCUCAGCUGUUCCCUCUCUAGUAUCCUCUUCCCCACAGCUCCCUCCCUCUCCCCCCUGCAUGGCCUACCUCACUGUCCUCAAGCUACUCGACCUGUCUCUACCUCCUCCACCAUGUGGCAGUGUCUUCACCUCCUUCUCCACAAGGUCCCCUAUAAACGGCCCACUGGCCUAGAUGCUGCUGUAACCCCUCGUCAGUCUCAGCACUUGUGGAAAACCCUGUUUUUCUUGGGAUGGGCUCUCACGCUUACUUACUGUUCUCCAGCUGAGGGGUUUCAGGGUUUGCCAUCUCCUCUUCACCAAAACAGCUAUGGCAGAACUCUGCUCCAUAACCUGUGGGGUGGGGGAGACUUCUUAAACAUUAGGGUGUUGUUUGCUAGCAUCCAUACAACUAGUAAUAAUAUUACAGUGCCUUGUCAAGCCCUUCUCAUCAAAGGAUCCCACAAAGGUUUAAGCCUUACCAGGCCUCCUUGAAGAGACUGGCCAUUUGGAAACAUUGCAUCCACAAUGCUGAAGAAGUGUGUGACAGUCUUGGCAGCUGUGCAACUGAGGAAGACAGGUGGAGAUGGUCAGAGGGAACCUGAGUUCUGACUGCAUAGCACUAAUCCUAGAGCAGUUC